GACGAACGCUGGCGGCGUGCUUAACACAUGCAAGUCGAACGGAAAGGCCCUGCUUUUGUUGGGUGCUCGAUUGGCGAACGCGUGAGUAACACGCGUGUAACCUCCCCUUGACUUUGUGAUAACUUCAGGAAACUGGGGCUAAUACCGGAUAGGAGCUCCUGCUGCAUGGGGGUGGUUGGAAAGUUUCGGCCGUUGGGGAUGGACUCGCGGCUUAUCAGCUUGUUGGUGGGGUAGUGGCUUCCCAAGGGUUUGACGGGUAGCCGGCCUGAGAGGGGUACCGGCGUCAUUGGGACUGAGGUACGGACCAGAAGGCAACGGGAGGCAGCAGGGGGGAAUAUUGCGGAAUGGGCGGAAGCGUGAGACGGAGGCGCCGCGAGCGGGAUAACGGCCUUCGGGUUGUAAACAGAUGUCGACUGAAACGAAGAGUGAGUGACGGUAACGGGUAAGGAAGCACCGGCUAACUACGUG
rnacentral:rRNA from 1 species